rnacentral:rRNA from 1 species
UUAGCGGAAGUUUUCGGAUGGAAGCGGAUAUGACUUAGCGGCGGACGGGUGAGUAACGCGUGGAUAACCUGCCUCAUACAGGGGGAUAACAGUUAGAAAUGACUGCUAAUACCGCAUAAGCGCACAGGACCGCAUGGUCCGGUGUGAAAAACUCCGGUGGUAUGAGAUGGAUCCGCGUCUGAUUAGCUGGUUGGUGAGGUAACGGCCCACCAAGGCGACGAUCAGUAGCCGACCUGAGAGGGUGGCCGGCCACAUUGGGACUGAGACACGGCCCAAACUCCUACGGGAGGCAGCAGUGGGGAAUAUUGCACAAUGGGGGAAACCCUGAUGCAGCAACGCCGCGUGAGUGAAGAAGUAUUUCGGUAUGUAAAGCUCUAUCAGCAGGGAAGAAGAAAGACGGUACCUGACUAAGAAGCCCCGGCUAACUACGUGCCAGCAGCCGCGGUAAUACGUAGGGGGCAAGCGUUAUCCGGAUUUACUGGGUGUAAAGGGAGCGUAGACGGCUGUGCAAGUCUGAAGUGAAAGCCCGUGGCUCAACCGCGGAACUGCUUUGGAAACUGUAUAGCUUGAGUACUGGAGAGGCAGGCGGAAUUCCUAGUGUAGCGGUGAAAUGCGUAGAUAUUAGGAGGAACACCAGUGGCGAAGGCGGCCUGCUGGACAGAAACUGACGUUGAGGCUCGAAAGCGUGGGGAGCAAACAGGAUUAGAUACCCUGGUAGUCCACGCGGUAAACGAUGAAUGCUAGGUGUUGGGGAGCAAAGCUCUUCGGUGCCGUCGCAAACGCAGUA